UUCAGUGCAAAUGUUGUUGUGGAUGGGAGCACUGUUAAUUUGUGGUUAUGGAAUACUGCUGGCAGGAAAAUUACAAUAGAUUAAGGCCAUUGAGCUAUCGAGGAGCAGAUGUCUUCCUACUUGCAUUUUCUCUCAUAGGCAAGGCUAGCUAUGAAAAUGUGGCCAAGAAAAAACAUGGGUUCCUGAAUUGAAGCAUUAUGCACAUGGUAUUCCAAUCAUUCUUGUUGGAACUAAGCUUGAUCUUCGGGAUGAUAAGCAAUUCUUUAUAGAUCAUCCUGGGGCAGUGCCAUCACCACAGCCCAGGUAAUUCCCGGUGCAUCUUAAGUUCAAAACUACUAUAUUUCAAGUUCUUUGUCAUAUCUUGCUCUCUUCUCUUUGUUGCUCAUCACCAAACUGCAAUCCACUAAGAUAUAUGCCUGAUUUUCUUUCCUUUUUCUU